rnacentral:rRNA from 1 species
CUGCCCAAUGAAAUUUAUUUAUUUGGCUGCAAAAUUUUUAACUGUACUAAGGUAGCAUAAUAAUUUGUUUUUUAAUUAAAAACUAGAAUGAAUGAUUUAAUGAAAUAUAAACUUUAUUAAUAAAAUUUUUUUAAUUUUUUAUUUAAGUAAAAAAACUUAAAUUUCUAAAAAAGACGACAAGACCCUAUAGAAUUUUAUUAAUAUAAUAAUAUUUUUAAUAAAUUAUUUUUUAAAAAAAUUAUUUAAUUAAUUUUAUUGGGGUAAUUAAAAAAUUAAUUAAAUUUUUUUAUAAAAAUACAAUUAUUUUUGAAUAACAUAUAGUAAAUUUUAAAUUUAUAAAACUAAUUACCUUAGGGAUAACAGCAUAAUUUUUUUUAAAAGAACUUAUUAAUAAAAAAGAUUAUGACCUCGAUGUUGAAUUAAGAUAAAAUUCAAAAGAAAAAAUUUGAAAAUUUAAGUCUGUUCGACU